AAUAGUUGACUUUUAUUUACUAUAUUUAAAUAAUAGUUGGCUUUUAUUUUGGUUUUAUGACUUUAAAAUAUUUGGCCAUGCGCUGAAGAUUUUCAUUUUGGAUUUGUUGAUUCUAUGUAUAUGUCAUAUCUAUAUGGUAAUCCAAACAUUUUAUACUAGUAACAGUCAAAGUGGUUCUUCAUUUUCUGUUGAUGCAGGAGAUGAAGAGUCGGUGUGAUGAGAAAAUGUCCGACUUUAUCUUUUCUAAGACUAGAACAGUCUCUACAAAUAGUAAAUUUAUUCAUAUGGUGCUAGCGGUCACUUAAUUAAUUUGUGUUUUCAUUUUUCAAGUCAGAAAUUGCUUGGAGAGAUGCAAAAUAUGGUCAAAGAAUUCAAGAACUUUGUUCUUCGGGUUUUUUUUAAUGCAUGUAAUCACAGUUAAAAACUUGUUAUUAAUUCCUUUGUAUAUACUUUUGAACAUUCAAUUUUCAUUUAUGAAAUAUAUGAUGUUAUUUCAUUCAAUAUGUGGUUGUGAUUCAAAUGAUAUAUAUAUAGUGUGUAUUAUAUUCUUCAAAUGCGCGUACAAAAAUAAUAUUGAUUAUGUUGAACCCUUUUUUUUAUCACACUCAUUAACUGUGAUGAGAAAUGCAUAUAAUAUGUGAUCUUAUCUCACUAUUAAUCACAGGUUUUAUUAGAUAUUAAUCAUACUUAAAAUCUGUGAUCUAAAUGUUAUUAGUCACACUUAAAAGAUGUGAUUUAAAUAUUUAUUAUUAUCACACGCAAAACGUGUGAUGGAAUCAUCUUUUAAAGACAUUCAAAACGUGUUACACUCUCGAAGAUCACACUUUGACAAAACUUGAAUUGUGUGAUUAAAUAGCAUACAUCACCCAUAAAAAAGUGUGAUGUAUUUAUAAUUUGUAGUAGUUAAAUGAGUUAAGUGGUUAAUCUCAUGAUUUUAGAGUUAUGUAAUAUUUGUGAAUUGAGAAAGAAAGAAAAUGUUUGUCGUAGAAGUGGCUCAUGUUCUGAAGGUUGUUAGCGGAAUUGGUAAAUUGAAUGAGAUAAUAAGAUUGUUGGUCUAAUUCUAGGAAAUGUUGAUUGUUGUAGAAUGGGUUAUACAUGUGACAUGCUGUUGAUUUAAUUUUACAAAUCGAAAUGAUGAUGUAUAUGAUGAGUUGAUGGAUUAAAGUUUUAAAAAGACGGUCUGUUUCCUUCCAACUUGUGACCGGUAAAACGUAGUGUAUUAACAGAGGUUUCUCUUUCCUUCCGAUUUGUGCCCAAUAAAGCGUGUGGAUUGUUGGACUAUAUGGAGGUUUUGCUUUCCCUUCGGCUAGCCACCGGUAAAGUGUGGCACUUUGAGGUGUGGAGUUUGUUGUCUCGUUCAAGAAUUCAAGGAGUUAGGUUACUAAUGAUUCGAGAUUUGUUACUCACCGGUGAAAACGCCAAUGUGUUAUUACUCUCUUUAUUAUAAUUAUUGCAUUUUUGAAAUUCUCAAUGUAAGCCUAAGGGCAUAUUUUGUAAUGAUCCGUACUAAACUUGUACCAUUGUAUUUAUGCGAGAGGGAACCUUGAAUAUCCUAUGUAUUUUGUUUUGCUUCUGCAUUUUAUUAUUUCAUAAA